AACGAACGCUGGCGGCAGGCUUAACACAUGCAAGUCGAGCGCAUCCUUCGGGAUGAGCGGCAGACGGGUGAGUAACGCGUGGGGAUGUGCCUGGUGGUACGGAACAACUCAGGGAAACUUGAGCUAAUACCGUAUAAGCCCUUUUGGGGAAAGAUUUAUCGCCACCAGAUCAACCCGCGUUGGAUUAGCUAGUUGGUGAGGUAACGGCUCACCAAGGCGACGAUCCAUAGCUGGUCUGAGAGGAUGAUCAGCCACACUGGGACUGAGACACGGCCCAGACUCCUACGGGAGGCAGCAGUGGGGAAUAUUGGACAAUGGGCGCAAGCCUGAUCCAGCCAUGCCGCGUGAGUGAUGAAGGCCUUAGGGUUGUAAAGCUCUUUCACUGGGGAAGAUAAUGACGGUACCCAGAGAAGAAGCCCCGGCUAACUUCGUGCCAGCCGCCGCCGUAA
rnacentral:rRNA from 1 species